rnacentral:lncRNA from 1 species
UGGUGGUGAAUGAUGAGAUGGUAGUUGUGUUGGUGGUGUAUGAUGAGAUGGUAGUUGUAUUGGUAGUGUAUAAUUGGUCUUAGUUGUGUUGGUGGUGUAUGAUGAGAUGGUAGUUGUGAUGGUUGUGUAUGAUUGGUCUUAGUUGUGUUGGUGGUGUAUGAUGAGAUGGUAGUUGUGUUGGUGGUGUAUAAUUGGUCUUAGUUGUGUUUGUUGGUGUAUGAUGAGAUAGUAGCUGUGUUGGUAGUGUAUAAUUGGUAUUAGUUAUGUUGGUGGUGUAUAAUUGGUCUUAGUUGUGUUGGUGGUGUAUGAUGAGAUGGUAGUUGUGUUGGUGGUGUAUAAUGAGAUGGUAGUUGUGUUGGUAGUGUAUAAUUGAUCUUAGUUGUGUUGUUGGUGUAUAUGAUUAGAUGGUAGUUGUGUUGGUGGUGUAUGAUGAGAUGGUAGUUGUGUUGGUGGUGUAUGAUGAGAUGGUAGUUGUGUUAGUAGUGUAUAAUUGGUCUUAGUUGUGUUGGUGGUGUAUGAUGAGAUGGUAGUUGUGUUGGUAGUGUGUAAUUGGUAUUAGUUGUGUUGGUGGUGUAUAAUUGGUCUUAGUUGUGUUGGUGGUGUAUGAUGAGAUGGUAGUUGUGAUGGUAGUGUAUAAUUGGUCUUAGUUGUGUUGUGGUGUAUGAUGAGAUGGUAGUUGUGUUGGUGGUGUAUAAUUGGUCUUAGUUGUGUUGGUGGUGUAUGAUGAGAUAGUAGUUGUGUUGGUAGUGUAUAAUUGGUCUUAGUUGUGUUGGUGGUGUAUGAUGAGAUGGUAGUUGUGUUGGUAGUGUAUAA